AUUGAACGCUGGCGGCAUGCCUUACACAUGCAAGUCGAACGUGAAAGCGGGCAACCCGCAAGUAGAGUGGCGGACGGGUGAGUAAUACAUCGGAACGUGUCCAGUAAUGGGGGAUAACCUAGCGAAAGUUAGGCUAAUACCGCAUACGAUCUGCGGAUGAAAGCGGGGGAUGCGGCACUAAAGGCUUUUGGCGAAGGUGGCCAAAGGUGAGUCGAGAGCUUUUAGUGCCUGCACCUCGCGUUAUUGGAGCGGCUGAUGUCUGAUUAGCUAGUUGGUGAGGUAAAGGCUUACCAAGGCGAC
rnacentral:rRNA from 1 species